rnacentral:lncRNA from 1 species
UGUCUGGGGCACCUGAGGCACCUGGGCAUGUGCCCGUGUGCAAGGAGAGCGACCACAUCCACAUCAUCGCUGUCACUGACCAUUGUCCCUCUGUCCCUCACACCUCACUGACCACACUGACCACACUGACCACUCUCUGUCCAUCUGUCUGUCUGCAGGAGGUGGAGCCCAUGUGCAAUAAGGGCGACCACAUCCACACCUCACUGACUGCUGUCACUGACCAUUGUCCCUCUGUCCCUCACACCUCACUGACCCCUGUCCAUCCGUCUGUCUGUCCGUCCCUUUCAGGAGGUGGAGCCCAUGUGCAAGGAGAGCGACCACAUCCACAUCAUCGCUGUCACUGACCUGUCUGUCUGUCUGUGUGUCUGUCCCCCUACAGGAGGUGGAGCCCAUGUCCCUCACACCUCACUGACCCCUGUCUGUCUGUCUGUCCGUCUGUCUGUCUGCAGGAGGUGGAGCCCAUGUGCAAGGAGAGCGACCACAUCCACAUCAUCGCUCUCACUGACCAAUGUCUGUCUGUCUGUCCACAGGAGGUGUCCCCCAUGUCCCUCACACCUUACUGACCAUUAUCACUGACCUGUCUGUCUGUCUGUCUGUCCGUCCCUUUCAGGAGGUGGAGCCCAUGUGCAAGGAGAGCGACCACAUCCACAUCAUCGCUGUCACUGACCAUUGUCCCUCUGUCCCUCACACCGCAGUGACCACUAUCACUGACCAAUGUCUCCCAUGUCCCUCACACCUCACUGACCCCUGUCCAUCUGUCUGUCCAUCCCUUUCAGGAGGUGGAGCCCAUGUGCAAGGAGAGCGACCACAUCCACAUCAUCGCGCUGGCGCGGGCGCUGCACGUCUCCAUCCUGGUGGAGUACAUGGACCGGGGC